GCAUCCACAUCCCACCAUCGCUCCUGUGCUGCACAAAACAACUCCUGUUAUUUUGUGAUGAGUGUUUAUUCCCUGGGAGACCCUCAGGAUAGGGUGCUGCCGCAGGAAGAGCUCUACAACAAAGCUGUGCAACAGCUCUAAGCAGGGUUUUCUCCUGUUCAUCACUUUGGUACCCAAUCCAUACCAAGCAUUGAUUUUUCCAAACACCAAGAAGAGUUAGAGCAGCAAUUGAUGUGUUUUACACGCAGAAGCCAAUGCAAGUUAAAGGCCAUGCUUUCCAAACAAGACAUUUAAUUUCACUCUCAUUACACAAGUAGUCACCCCUAACGAGGAAUGAAAAGAGCAUAAAGGCAGCACACAAAAUGAGAACAGAUGAAAACUACCUUUUGUGCUCACACGUACUCACAGGAGAAAUAUCCCUGGCUGCCAGCCACAAGAAGACAAGUAUUACUCCGAGGAGCUGUAAUGCCUUGAAGGUAAAUCUUCAGAAUGUGAAGAAAUACUAAAUGUUUAUUUUGUCUGCACAGUUACUUGAAGAAAAAGUGUUUUGUCAGAAUUUGUUAUCUACCUGAAAACAGCCAGAAAUGUCAGCUUUAAAAAUAGUCUUCCAGCAGAAAUAAAGAAAAACUGUGGACCAGAGGUUUAUCUUCAAUAUCUCCACUAAAUAAAGGAAGAUGUUAGCAUGGGAUUAUAA